ensembl:lncRNA
UGCUACCCUUGACACAAAGGGAGCUCAGGGACGCGCCUUCGGAGUCCCUGGGGAGGCAGGGAGUCGGCGCCAGGGAACCACACCAGUUCACAACCAGAGCUGCCAACUCCAGAGCGCUCGCGUCCCACGACCAACACUCCCAACUCGGCCCACCGGCUCGCCCUUCCCUCGCCCGCCAAAAAGAUGCCAUCUCACCUGGCUCCAGAUUCCUGUACCCCCCCCAGGGGACGAUGGCAAGGGAGACACGCCACCCUCGCCCCUUUGCCCUCCAGUGGGACAUGGGCAUUGACCUCUGUGCCUGCACGUGAGCAUCCAUCACUGAACCGCAUCCGUCCGCAGUAUGUUUC